rnacentral:rRNA from 1 species
UCCGUAGGUGAACCUGCGGAAGGAUCAUUACCGAGUGCGGGCCCCUCGGGGCCCAACCUCCCACCCGUGUUGCCCGAACCUAUGUUGCCUCGGCGGGCCCCGCGCCCGCCGACGGCCCCCCUGAACGCUGUCUGAAGUUGCAGUCUGAGACCUAUAACGAAAUUAGUUAAAACUUUCAACAACGGAUCUCUUGGUUCCGGCAUCGAUGAAGAACGCAGCGAAAUGCGAUAACUAAUGUGAAUUGCAGAAUUCAGUGAAUCAUCGAGUCUUUGAACGCACAUUGCGCCCUCUGGUAUUCCGGAGGGCAUGCCUGUCCGAGCGUCAUUGCUGCCCUCAAGCCCGGCUUGUGUGUUGGGCCCCGUCCCCCCCGCCGGGGGGACGGGCCCGAAAGGCAGCGGCGGCACCGCGUCCGGUCCUCGAGCGUAUGGGGCUUCGUCACCCGCUCUAGUAGGCCCGGCCGGCGCCAGCCGACCCCCAACCUUUAAUUAUCUCAGGUUGACCUCGGAUCAGUAGGUAUACCCGCUGAACUUAAGCAUAUCAAUAAGCGGAGGAA